CGCUGGCGGUGUGCACAAGUUCAGUGUUCAACUUCCCGCUCUUAACGAGAGCGGGGAUCCCUCUGGAGAGGCCCUCGGGAGCUGGCGGCGGGGCUGGGAGUGGCGUGGGGCAGCAGAGGCACAAGGAGCAGGAGAGUUGUUCCUGGGACGUGCUCUCCCGGAGGGCCUACUAGCACGUCCAGGUGCUGGGCAGGAUUCAGAGGGUCAACGAACAACGCCGUCACUCAAUUGUGAUUCUGAAAAGAAAAUUUCCUGACCACCAUCCCCAGAUUUUGCCUGAUGUCCCUGUCUGGUGCAUUUAAAAAAUGUUAACCAGUAGGAGAGGAAUCAAGUGCAGAAUCAUCACCACACAGCCAAAGCCUCUUCACUUCCAUGGAGGAAAAUAUUUGUCUCCCUGGCCAUCACCAAAUUUUGGAGGCGAGUUGGGCCCCUUCCGUCCGAGGCCACACUCAGAAUUCUUUACAUUCCUCAGUGCUGAUCAACCUUCCUGUCAGCCCUGAAGAAAGAAAGCAGGUAACCGAGUAAGCUCUGUGAUGGCAGAAAGAGACCAUAAAGAAAGAUUUCUUGCAUACACUGAAUUGGAUUGUUAGCCUCCCAAACUACUCUGAAGAAAACUUGGGAGGUCAAUGGUUUCUCCCCAUUUUACAAAUGAUGGUGCAAAGGCUCAGAGAGGUUAACAGACUUUCCUGAUAUCACACAGCCAUCGAUUGCUGAGCAGAGACUGGAACAGUGAUCUGCUCUCCCUAGCUCUACCUGGAGCUGCCUAGACUUCUCCAGGCCUUGUUGUUGGUGACCAGUUCAACCCUCAACCCCUAGUUUACAGAGAUAUGUAAGCGUGGCCAGAAUCUGACUGUUUCAAUAAAUCAUGAAAUUACUCUCUGCUUUUGGAAAACCUUCACUGAAGGCAGUGUUCCCACAUAUGGCCAGGUAUCUUUCCCUCUCCAUCUGUCCUUCCUGGUGCAGGGAGCACUACUGGAAGUCAGUGGGCGUCUGUGCACAAUAAAGAGCCCGGGAUGAGAAGCAGGAUGUGAAUCACGUCCGCAAAGUGAAGCCUCACGUCUUAACAAAUAAUUAAGAAAAAAGUUGAGGUCAUGUUCUCAGCUGAUCCUCACUGGCAGAGCCAACUUUGGAUUAAACACCUCUGCUCAGUGGUUUUGACAUUCUCAUUGAGGCAUAUCUUGAUGAAAUUAGAGAUGCAGAAAAUAUUUUUUGAUGGAGUACAGAGACAAAACAGCUAGAAGGGGAGCCGAUUUUAUGUGCAAACUUGUACAGACUGAGUUAAAGAGGAAAAGAGAGUAAGGCGCAUGCUCAUGUGGAUGUGUAUAAAUGAAGGAAGAUGAAAGCAGGUUAUAGAAGAGGAAGGGGGAAGCUGGGGUGAUGCUAAUUAAUUAGACUUUCAGAUCUUGGCAGCAAGAGGUGUGUUUAUAAACAAUCUUCAUUAAAACAUACCUUUCCAACUAUUAACUGUUUUAUUUGGCAGCAAUGGUCCCUGUCUAAUUAUUCUGUACUUGCUUCAACUUAAAAGUGGAGAAGGAAAUAUUAAUAAAUGAACACAACCAUUCUUAUG